rnacentral:rRNA from 1 species
AAAACUUUCAACAACGGAUCUCUUGGUUUCCAGCAUCGAUGAAGAACGCAGCGAAAUGCGAUAACUAAUGUGAAUUGCAGAAUUCAGUGAUCAUCGAGUUUGAACGCACAUUGGCCCGGGWUUCGGGGGGCAUGCCUGUUCGAGCGUCAUUAC